GGAUGAAGAACGCAGCGAAAUGCGAUAAGUAAUGUGAAUUGCAGAAUUCAGUGAAUCAUCGAAUCUUUGAACGCACAUUGCGCCCGCCAGUAUUCUGGCGGGCAUGCCUGUUCGAGCGUCAUUUCAACCAUCAAGCCCCAGGCUUGUGUUGGGGACCUGCGGCUGCCGCAGGCCCUGAAAACCAGUGGCGGGCUCGCUGUCACACCGGGCGUAGUAGAUUUUAUCUCGCUCAGGGCGUGCUGCGGGUUCCGGCCGUUAAAAAGCCUUUUUUACCCAAGGUUGACCUCGGAUCAGGUAGGAAGACCCGCUGAACUUAAGCAUAUCAAUAAGCGGAGA
rnacentral:misc_RNA from 1 species